UGGGGAAUAUUGGACAAUGGGCGAAAGCCUGAUCCAGCCAUGCCGCGUGUGUGAAGAAGGCCUUUUGGUUGUAAAGCACUUUAAGCGAGGAGGAGGCUACCGAGAUUAAUACCCUUGGAUAGUGGACGUUACUCGCAGAAUAAGCACCGGCUAACUCUGUGCCAA
rnacentral:rRNA from 1 species